rnacentral:lncRNA from 1 species
ACAACAAUAAUAUAAAAUAUCAACGCAGCAAUUAUUGAAUCAAUAAAAUAAAAUAUUGAACAGUAAUUACUGUAACAAUAAUUGAUUAGUGCCUUCUUACGUAAGAAUAAAUAAUUCAACAAUACUGUGCAAUACCGUGUGCUACUGUUCAACCACACGUAUUACUGUAUUUUAACCACCAAGUAUUCCAACAGUGUUAACGGUAUCAAUUAUGCCGUUAUUCAAUUUUGUCAUUUUCUUCAUCCGACAGUUAUCCGUUAUGGGGCCCACAAAUAGUUGCGCCGUCGUACGAAUAUUCCCCGACAAAAAGAAUAUUCCACGACCAAACGAAUAUUCACCGACAACAAUGAAUAUUAUAUAACCACUUGCUUAUUUUGAAAAUUUGCACAUUUUACUCAUAACGAAAGUAUUAUAUCAAAUUAACACCUUAUUAUUCACAAUAAUAAUUAAAAAAAAUUUAAUUUUAUUCAUUAAAAAAUUUGGGGUCUUACACUAG